GAUGAACGCUCGCGGGAGGCCUAACACAUGCAAGCCGAGCGGUAUUUGUUCUUCGGAACAGAGAGAGCGGCGCACGGGUGCGGAACACGUAUGCAACCUGCCUUUAUCUGGGGGAUAGCCUUUCGAAAGGAAGAUUAAUACCCCAUAAUAUAUUGAGUGGCAUCACUUGAUAUUGAAAACUCCGGUGGAUAGAGAUGGGCACGCGCAAGAUUAGAUAGUUGGUGAGGUAACGGCUCACCAAGUCAAUGAUCUUUAGGGGGCCUGAGAGGGUGAUCCCCCACAAUGGUACUGAGACACGGACCAGAAUCCUACGCGAGGCAGCAGUGAGGAAUAUUGGACAAUGGGUUAGCGCCUGAUCCAGCCACCCCGCGUGAAGGACGACGGCCCUAGGGGUUGUCAACUUCUUUUGUAUAGGGAUAAACCUACUCUCUUGAGAGUAGCUGAAGGUACUAUACGAAUAAGCACCGGCUAACUCCGU
rnacentral:rRNA from 1 species